rnacentral:rRNA from 1 species
CAGCAGCCACGGUAAUACGUAGGGUGCGAGCGUUAAUCGGAAUUACUGGGCGUGAAGCGUGCGCAGGCGGUUGUGUAAGACAGGUGUGAAAUCCCCGGGCUUAACCUGGGAACUGCGCUUGUGACUGCACAGCUAGAGUAUAGCAGAGGGGGGUGGAAUUCCGCGUGUAGCAGUGAAAUGCGUAGAGAUGUGGAGGAACACCGAUGGCGAAGGCAGCCCCCUGGGCCAAUACUGACGCUCAUGCACGAAAGCGUGGGGAACAAACAGGAUUAGAUACCCCCGUAGUCCCUGUCUCUUAUAC